UGUAUCUUUAGGUGUGGUAAGUCUUUCCUGCUAGUCUUCAGGUCAUUCUCAUAGAUAAUAGCUCUGUAAAUUGCUGUGAUUUUGCUGUGUUUGUGGAAGAAGGUGAGUUCAGGGCCUUCCGACUCUACUAUCUUGGCCAUCUCUAUUUUAUUUCUAAAGGAAACCUCUUAUCUUGUUUUCUUUGAUAUCCACAGCAACUCAUAUUUCGCUUGAGGAGGCUGAGGCUUAGAGAAAAGUAAACUGAUUAAGGUCUCAUAGCUGGACAGUGGCAGGGAUGAGUGUGAAACUGUCUUCUUAAAAUAUGUACUACAUCACAAUAUACUCUGUUGUUUCCUAACCAGCUUACACAUCUGACUCACUCAUGAUGCUUUUCUAAAACACAGAUGCCUGGCUCCCACCCAAACUUUUGGAGUCAGAAUUUCCAGAGGGUCUGCAAUAUGAAGAAGACACGGUGCAUGUAGAAGAAACUAUGUUGGAGUUCAAACACCUAAGGUUAUCACCAUUGACCACCCCUGACUUUGUGACCUUUGGUUACUACAAGAUAUGGAAUUUUCUAGGCAAGAAUACU